GACCCUGUAGCUUAGAGGUUAGAGCGUCUGACUGUUAAUCAGAAGGUCGAGAGGUCGAAUCUCUCCAGGGUCG
rnacentral:tRNA from 1 species